CAGUAGCCACGGGAACACGGAGGGUGCAAGCGUUAAUCGGAAUUACUGGGCGUAAAGCGCACGCAGGCGGUUUGUUAAGUCAGAUGUGAAAUCCCCGAGCUUAACUUGGGAACUGCAUUUGAAACUGGCAAGCUAGAGUCUUGUAGAGGGGGGUAGGAUUCCAGGUGUAGCGGUGAAAUGCGUAGAGAUCUGGAGGAAUACCGGUGGCGAAGGCGGCCCCCUGGACAAAGACUGACGCUUAGGUGCGGAAGCGUGGGGAGCAAACAGGAUUAGAUACCCCUGUAGUCCCUGUCUCUUAUAC
rnacentral:rRNA from 1 species